rnacentral:lncRNA from 1 species
UUCAGCUUUCAGACACAUUCCUCCACACGCUUCAGCAAGUUCUCAGCAGGAAUGUUAGUGUUGGUCCUGAGGCUCCUGUAGAGCCUCUAACUCUCCAUGAGUGUCUCACCUCAUACAGAACCUUCACACCUACAGGCCAACAGAUCUCCACCAUGAAGCUCCACAGCCUCAGCAUUAACCUCCUGCUUUCCCUCGUAUUCCUCAACAUCUACAGCCCAUCAGAUGGAUCAAGUCCAAAUAUACUGCGCAAACUACUCAAGAAAAGGGAAGGUAAUCUGUCUGCAUUUUAUGCCCAAAUGCUUUUUAGCCACCAUGAGCUCUAUAUUACACCCUGCACAGGAGCUCCACUGACUGAAAUCAACCAAGACAGAUGUCAACAGUGAAACGUUCAUCGCUAUCUUGGGUGCUGCGUGCACAAACCCAACAUUUACAUCCACAAUACAUCAACAGAAUAGUAAAUAAAAUAACAUUGCUGUUCCCGUAAAUGAGCUGC